UAUUUUGUUCUCUUGUUUUGUUUUUAGAUUUACAUCGGUAUUUUAAUUUGUUUCUGGAAGUUGUUCUAAUGAAUACGUAAGUGGAAGGGAGGGGAUGAAGUUGGAUACGGUUUUUAAUGUUAUUAAUCUUGUAUGCAUUAUAUUUCUGCUGUAAUUAGUUAUUUGCAUAUCUCGUCUAGAUAUUCGUGAUAGAUUUUCCCAUCUUGUGAUUAAGAAACUGAAUUUAUAUAGGGUAUUUCAUACGUAUGUAAGGCACAAAUUGACUUCCCUCUACCAGAUGUUCGUCGGAAUUCCAUAAAGUAAAUUUGAAUGCAAAUAGAAUGCUCAUGCAAGUAAAUUAAAAGGUAAUAGGUCUUAAUUGAAAGGUAAUGAUCUCGCAAGCGAUGGAACACGGUAAAUUAGGGAAUGAAACGGUAAAUAGAUGGAAAGAAAAUCGACCACGUGGUUUUCAACUUCGGCGCAUCUGAGUUGAAAUGUGCACAUGGUGUAGAUAGUGCAAGCUGGGCCUACAAUACUGUGAGGAGGAACAGCAGUGUAGGCAUGAAGCCAGCAUAAAUCUUGAAGGGCACUUGAUCAAAGGCUCUUGAAAUGAAGAUGGAUCUGUUUGAACCUCUCCAGACUAGGAUUUUGCUUCCAGGCUGAAAUGGUGUAAUUGUGUGCACAUGUGAACUUCAAAUGAUGGCCAAAAUACCACCUUUUUAAUGCCCCUUCUGUUAUCUAAGGCACUCAAAGAUGAUUGAAAGUAAUUUGGAAGCAAUUCAGAAGUGGCUUGAAGUGUUAAGGCUCUUCAUUGCUUAGGAGAAUUUAGAUUGGGAGAUCAGUUUACAAUGUUCUUGAGAAUGUUGACCUGUUUCUGAUGCCGACUGAAUAGAUGUAUACUAAAAGAAAACGCAUCUCCAACAUGUAGUAGAUAUGGGUACCUUGUAAUGCAGAUGGACAUGAAGGCUUUAGUAUCUACAUAUCUACUCGUUAGAAAGUGUAGUUAUCAAUGUUUAUACUCCUUUAAAAUUAUAUCGAUGUAUAUCCCUUGUUAAUUGUAUUUAUAAAAAGUACUUUCUUGUAUCCUGUCAUGAAUAAAAAUGUGUUA